UACGUAGGGUGCAAGCGUUGUUCGGAAUUACUGGGCGUAAAGAGCGCGUAGGCGGUCUGACAAGUCCGCUGUGAAAGCCCCCGGCUUAACCGGGGAACUGCAUGGGAUACUGUUGGGCUAGAGUGCAGGAGGGGAGAGCGGAAUUCCUGGUGGAGCGGUGAAAUGCGUAGAUAUCAGGAGGAACGCCGGCGGCGAAAGCGACUCUCUGGCCUGUAACUGACGCUGAGGCGCGAAAGCUAGGGGAGCAAACGGG
rnacentral:rRNA from 1 species